UACGGAGGGAGCUAGCGUUGUUCGGAAUUACUGGGCGUAAAGCGCACGUAGGCGGCCAACUAAGUCAGACGUGAAAUCCCUCGGCUUAACCGGGGAACUGCGUCUGAUACUGGAUGGCUUGAGGUUGGGAGAGGGAUGCGGAAUUCCAGGUGUAGCGGUGAAAUGCGUAGAUAUCUGGAGGAACACCGGUGGCGAAGGCGGCAUCCUGGACCAAUUCUGACGCUGAGGAGCGAAAGCCAGGGGAGCAAACGGG
rnacentral:rRNA from 1 species